GACGAACGCUGGCGGCGUGCCUAAUGCAUGCAAGUCGCACGCACCCCUCGGGGUGAGUGGCGCACGGCUGAGGAACACGUGGGAAUGUACCCCGAGGUGGGGGAUAACGGCGCGAAAGGGUCGCUAAUCCCGCAUACGGUCCCUGCAAGGGGAGGAAAGACGCAAGUCGCCUUGGGAGCAGCCCGCGGCCCAUCAGGUCGUUGGUGGGGUAACGGCCUACCAAGCCAAUGACGGGUAGCUGGUCUGAGAGGACAGACAGCCAGACUGGGACUGAGACACGGCCCAGACUCCUACGGGAGGCAGCAGCAAGGAAUUUUCGUCAAUGGGCGCAAGCCUGAACGAGCAACGCCGCGUGGGGGAUGACGGCCUUCGGGUUGUAAACCCCUUUUUGGGGGGACGAUAAUGACGGUACCCCCGGAAUAAGCCCCGGCUAACUCUGUGCCAGCCGCCGCAGUAACAC
rnacentral:rRNA from 1 species